GACGAACCGUGCGAACGUUGUUCGGAAUCACUAGGCUUAAAGGGCGCGUAGGCGGACCACCAAGUCCGGGGUGAAAUCCUCCGGCUUAACCGGAGAAUUGCCUGGGAUACUGGUGGUCUUGAGGGAGGUAGGGGCACGCGGAACUUCCGGUGGAGCGGUGAAAUGCGUUGAUAUCGGAAGGAACGCCGGUGGCGAAAGCGGCGUGCUGGCCCUCUUCUGACGCUGAGGCGCGAAAGCCAGGGGAGCGAACGGG
rnacentral:rRNA from 1 species